UACGUAGGGGGCAAGCGUUGUCCGGAAUUAUUGGGCGUAAAGCGCGUGUAAGCGGCUCGGUAAGUCUGCUGUGAAAGUCCAGGGCUCAACCCUGGAAUGCCGGUGGAAACUGUCGAGCUUGAGUCCGGAAGAGGCGAGUGGAAUUCCUGGUGUAGCGGUGAAAUGCGUAGAUAUCCGGAGGAACACCAGUGGCGAAGGCGACUUCCUGGCCUGUUCUUGACGCUGAGGCGCGAAAGCUGGGGGAGCAAACGGG
rnacentral:rRNA from 1 species